GAUGAACGCUGGCGGCGUGCCUAAUACAUGCAAGUCGAGCGAACAGACGAGGAGCUUGCUCCUCUGACGUUAGCGGCGGACGGGUGAGUAACACGUGGAUAACCUACCUAUAAGACUGGGAUAACUUCGGGAAACCGGAGCUAAUACCGGAUAACAUGUUGAACCGCAUGGUUCAACAGUGAAAGACGGUCUUUCUGUCACUUAUAGAUGGAUCCGCGCCGCAUUAGCUAGUUGGUAAGGUAACGGCUUACCAAGGCAACGAUGCGUAGCCGACCUGAGAGGGUGAUCGGCCACACUGGAACUGAGACACGGUCCAGACACCUACGGGAGGGAGCAGUAGGGAAUCUUCCGCAAUGGGCGAAAGCAUGACGGAGCAACGCGGCGUGAGUGAAGAAGGUCUUCGGAUCGUAAAACUCUGUUAUUAGGGAAGAACAAAUGUGUAAGUAACUAUGCACGUCUUGACGGUACCUAAUCAGAAAGCCACGGCUAACUACGUG
rnacentral:rRNA from 1 species